rnacentral:lncRNA from 1 species
GCUAGUAGAGAUUUCCUAUCGAAGGUAACUAAACAUUUGUGUUAAGUUAUACCUGCCAUUGCCACCUAUUUUGUCCGUUCUACUUUUCAUCAUAUCGCGAAAUCAAAGCGGCGAAAUCAUCAGGAAACAGGUCUGCAUAAAAGCCAGGAAUAUUUUGUUCAAAAAUUGGAUCUUGUUUUCGUUGACGACCCUUUUCCAU